GGUCGUGCUUUGGAGUUCCUAAGUCGUGCCGUGCUGUGAGCGAGCGCAAAGGUAGUGACGCGUUUUACGGGGAGUAUGGCGGAUACGGGCUUGCGCCGCGUGGUACCCAGCGACCUUUAUCCCCUUGUGCUCGGCUUUCUGCGAGACAACCAACUCUCGGAGGUGGCCAGUAAAUUUGCAAAAGCGACAGGCGCUACGCAGCAAGACGCCAAUGCCUCUUCCCUCUUGGACAUCUAUAGCUUCUGGCUCAAGUCCACCAAAGCCCCAACGGUGAAAUUACAGUCAAAUAGACCAGUGACCAAGAAGGUUAAGAAAGAGACUUCUUCCAGUGACAGCAGUGAGGAUAGCAGUGAGGAAGAGGACAAAGCCCAAGGACUUUCCACACAGAAGGCUGCUGCACCUGCCAAGCGAGCCGGUGUGCCUCAGCGUGCUGGGAAGGCAGCAGCCAAAGCUUCAGAGAGCAGCAGUAGUGAAGAGUCCAGUGAUGACGAGGAGGAAGAGGACAAAACGAAAAAGCCUGUCCAGCAGAAAGCAGUUAAGCCCCAAGCCAAGGCAGCCAGACCUCCUCCGAAGAAAGCAGAGAGCUGUGAGUCCGAGUCUGACUCAAGCUCAGAGGAUGAAGCACCACAGACUCAGAAGCCAAAGACAGCUGUGGCAGCUAAAGCUCCGACUAAAGCCGCAGCCAAACAAGCUACACCAGCGAAAGCACAGCCUAAAGUAGCCAAUGACAAAGCAGCCAGAAGCCACAGCCGCCGCCGCUGCCACAGCAGCAGCAGCAGCAGCAACAGCAGUGAUGGCUCGCAGGAAGAGAAGGCAGCCGCACCUCCCAAGAAAACUGCACCUAAAAAGCAAGUCGUGGCCAAGGCACCAGUGAAAGUAGCUGCCGCCCCUACCCAGAAGAGUUCUAGCAGUGAAGAUUCGUCCAGUGAAGAGGGAGAGGAACGGAAAAAACCCAUGAAGAAAAAAGCAGGUCCCUACAGUUCACUUCCACCGCCUUCUGUUCCUUUACCAAAGAAGUCCUCCUCGGGAACCCAGGCUCCAAAGAAAGCUGCUGCACAGACAAGGCCUGCAGACAGCAGUGAUGAGUCAGAUUCAAGUUCUGAGGAAGAGAAAAAACCUCCAGCUAAGACGGUGGUCUCCAAGACACCUGCCAAACCAGCUCCGGUGAAGAAGAAAGCAGAGAGCUCUUCGGACAGCUCAGAUUCUGACAGUUCUGAGGAUGAAGCUCCUGCCAAGCCAGCCAGUACCACCAAGAGUCCCUUAAGCAAGCCAGCUGUCACUCCCAAGCCAUCUGCAGCAAAGGCCGUGGCAACUCCUAAGCAGCCUGCAGGAGGUGGCCAGAAAGCUCAGAGCAGGAAGGCCAACAGCAGCUCCAGUGAGGAGGAGGAGGAGGAGGAGGAGAGGAGGGAGAAGGGGAGGGGGAAGGGGAGGGGCAGGAGACAGAACAGUGAGGUUGGGAGGGGUCUGAGCAGGACUGUUUUGUCUUGAAGUUGGUACAUGGAAGUAAUUAUGUCCUGUUUAAAUUGGUCCACUGAAAUGAUUAUUAGUAUCUUAACUAUGAUGAUACUGGUAUAGACGAGCCAGGGGGCUGGGAGGCAUAGCUGGGUGACAGUGUGCUCCCUUGGCAUUCAUAGACCAAGUGUGAUCUCCAUCACGGCAGGAAGUGAAUGAGCAGAGAAAUUCCUGGGCAAAGGGAGUAGAUGAUAAAGCCAUAGGAUGUGACCACUGGCAGAGCUCAGAUAGAGUGAGGGAAGGGGUAGGGGAGAGCACCCUAGUUGGCCGGUGAGAACAGACACCAGGUUUCAUGUAUGAAAUAUGAAGGCACCACAUGUCGCCUCCCUUGUUUGGUUUCCAUGGUCACCUGGUAACCUGCUAAAAGCUGUCUGUCUGUGGCAGGUCCUUGAGGAAGUCUGCAUGGUCAAAUCUCUGUGUCUUAAUACAAAAAAAUAAAAUAAAAUAAAUGGUUCAUGAAAAA